UUCGCUCCCCCCCCCCCAACCUUUAAGAGGAAGAGAGAGGGCCCCCGGGCUGGUCACGCGAGGAUGGGGCGGGCACUGGAUCUCCGAGAGGGAGGCGAUCGACAGGGGAGCAUUUGGAGCAGCAUGGAGCCCUCUGCGGACCGGCUGGCUAGGGCGGCUGCCCAGGGCCGCGAGCAAGAGGUUCGGGCUCUGCUGGAAGCAGGGGUUUCGCCCAACGCCCCGAACUGUUUCGGCCGCACCCCGAUUCAGGUGAUGAUGAUGGGCAACACCCAAGUAGCCAGACUGCUGCUGCUCUACGGUGCGGAACCGAACUGCGAGGACCCAGCCACCCUCUCCCGACCCGUGCACGAUGCAGCACGGGAGGGCUUCUUGGAAACUCUGGCGAUACUACACCAGGCGGGGGCGCGGCUGGAUGUGCUUGACGCCCGGGGUCGCCUGCCGGUGGACCUGGCCCUGGAGCGGGGCCAUCGCGAUGUCGUACAGUAUCUACGUGCGGCUGGGAACACCCCCCAAGGCAGCGAGCCGGCAGGCGUAACUUCUGCCCAGACACCCCCAGGUCUGCACGCCGGAGCAGAGGAGUGAGAUCAGAGCAAAGAAGUGGUUUGAGAAGCUGCUGCGCGAACGCCGGAGUGAGGGUCGCAGAGGUCUCGGAUUUCGCGGACCACCCCCUAGGGCCCUACUAAGCCCCUCUUCAGCCUGCCCCGUUCUCCACCUUGGAUCCACCUCUGGAAAGUAGAACAGCGCUUGGCUGGUCCCGAUUCGCGUCUGUGAUUCUAGUACGUGGGAGGCUGAGGCGGGAGCAGCUAGAGGCCCGCUUGCUCUACAAGGAAAUAAAAGGAAAUAAUGCUUUUAAAAA